UCACUACAGCAGUGCAAAUUCUAAAAUUAGAACGUUAAGAGAAGAUGCAAGGCCCCUGAGCAAGGAUGGCAUGCACAUUCAUAAAGUGUCUUAUAUAUUU
rnacentral:snRNA from 1 species